rnacentral:tRNA from 1 species
CGAAAUUUGAUGCGGUAAAGCUCGUUCGGGACGAGGGGGUCGCAAGUUCGAAUCUUGCCACUCCGACCA